rnacentral:rRNA from 1 species
AAUCAACGCUGGCGGCGUGCCUAACACAUGCAAGUCGAGCGCGAAAGGGGGGUAACUCCCGAGUAGAGCGGCGAACGGGUGAGUAACGCGUGGGUGAUCUACCUCCGAGUGGGGAAUAACCCCGGGAAACUGGGGCUAAUACCGCAUGACAUCCCUGAGUCACAUCGGGGCUCAAAGCCGGGGACCGCAAGGCCUGGCGUUUGGAGAUGAGCCCGCGUCCGAUUAGCUAGUUGGCGGGGUAAGGCCCACCAAGGCUUCGAUCGGUAGCCGGCCUGAGAGGGCGGACGGCCACACUGGGACUGAGACACGGCCCAGACUCCUACGGGA